rnacentral:tRNA from 1 species
GGUCUCUUAGUGUAGUGGUAGCACGACAGCUUCCAAACCUGUCAGCCUGAGUUCGAUUCUUAGAGAGACUG